GUGCUUUCUUUGGUAGUACAUACACCAAAACAUGAACAAUAUCAAAGAGAUUAGUAUGUCAUCUCUAGAUGGAUGACAGUCAAAUUUGUAAAGGGUUCUCUAUUUUA
ensembl:snRNA U6 U6 spliceosomal RNA